CUCGACCGCCUCCCGGAUGAGAUCGUGGCGUGUGAGAUCCUUGUCCGCCUUCCAGCCAGGGACAUCCUCCGCUGCCGCGCGGUUUGUCGCUACUGGCUCCGCCUCGCCUCUGCCCCUGAUUUCCUGCUAGCCCAUCACCGGCGCCAGCCGUCGCUCCCCCUGGUCGCGCUCUACCGCACAUUCUGUACAAGUAGAGCGGAUGGCCUCCCAAUGUGCGGCCGUGGCCGGCCCAUCGUCGUGUUCGACGACUACAACAACAAUCGUAGUGGCUUCAAGCUGCACGCCUCCUGUGACGGCCUCCUCCUGCUCAGCCGAUCUAACGAGAGCUUCAGCAUCUGCAACCCAGCCACGCGUCAGUGCGCUCCCCUCCGAAACCUCACCACCGCUGGCCACAUCAAAAUUGUGAUAGCCGCGUUAUACCUCCACCACACGUCAGGUGAGUACCGUGUCCUCUACUGGAAAAAGAGACACUGGAAAGGGAAUGAACGAGUGAAAGAAGCUUCCUGCUACAUCCUUACGGUGCGGCGGAGAGGCUCGCCGAGGUGCAUCCGAGUUCCUUCGGAGAUCCCUGCCAUUAAGAAAUCUAUGAUAGCUGCGAACGUGAUGACCACUAUUAAUGUGGCCCCACCCAUCAUGUUUCGCAACUGCCUGCAUUGGGAACCUAGCUGGCUUCGCUAUGAUGUCGGGGACAUAGUCGUUUUCAACACAGUGGCUGAGUCAUUCAGAUCCAUGUGCUGCCCGCCUGGUGCUACCAGUUCCUGCACUCGCUUGUGCGACCUGGAAGGUUCGAUCGGCUUCAGUUGCUUCGACGAUCGGAGGACAAUCGUCAGAGUCUGGGUGGUAGAGGACUAUGAGAGGGAGGUAUGGGCAUUCAAGUACCAUGUUAAAUUCCCCAUGGAGAGCUUGUACCACUUGACAGAUACACGGCAUUUCAUUUUCUCCGACAAGGGAGAUGUGCUCGUCUAUAGUAUAUACGCACGUUACAUGUUCCAUUGUGACAGUACUGGCAAGUUUCUAGACGAAUUCCAAUGGAAUCAUGAGUCACAAGGUUUGAGCAUUAUUGGGCAUAGGUUCAAAGAAAGCCUUGUCGACCAUAAGUUCUUUGCAAGGCGAGAA
rnacentral:rRNA from 1 species